rnacentral:rRNA from 1 species
AGUAAAUAGAUACCCAGGUAGUCCACGCCGUAAACGAUGAAUGCCCAGCCGUUAGUGGGUUUACUCACUAGUGGCGCAGCUAAACGCUUUAAGCAUUCCGCCUGGGGAGUACGGUCGCAAGAUUAAAACUCAAAGGAAUUGACGGGGGCCCGCACAAGCGGUGGAGCAUGUGGUUUAAAUUCGACGCAACGCGCAGAACCUUACCAGCCCUUGACAUGUCCAGGACCGGUCGCAGAGAUGUGACCUUCUCUUCGGAGCCUGGAGCACAGGUGCUGCAUGGCUGUCGUUAGCUCGUGUCGUGAGAUGUUGGGUUAAGUCCCGCAACGAGCGCAACCCCCGUCCUUAGUUGCUACCAUUUAGUUGAGCACUCUAAGGAGACUGCCGGUGAUAAGCCGCGAGGAAGGUGGGGAUGACGUCAAGUCCUCAUGGCCCUUACGGGCUGGGCUACACACGUGCUACAAUGGCGGUGACAAUGGAUGCUAAGGGGCGACCCUUCGCAAAUCUCAAAAAGCCGUCUCAGUUCGGAUUGGGCU